UGGCUGAUGUACAGGAACCUGCAUGUCUUCAGACCGUACAACCUGAGGGAUUCUGCCCCCUUGCUGUGUGGAGGCCCCGGUGCUCUAAAGGAGGCUCUGUGUGAUGAAGAUGAAGGCACUGUGGAAAUGAUCACAGCAGGCAUGUGAGUUGUAAACACGGCUGUCACCUGGCUGGCGGGUGCGCUGACAGUUGGCAGGGAACGUGGCUAUGAUAGUUCUCCCUGCGGGACGAGGCCGAGGUGGGAGAUGGAUCCUCCCUUAUAUGCAGGCAUUAAACCCCAAGUACAAUUCUGUAAUUUGAGCCAGGGUUCCCAGCUGGAAUGUGAACAGCACACAAACUGAACCGGUGACCCUUUGCUCAGUGCCCAGAAUUAUGCUAUGAAUUUCUUGGAAAGAAUAAGGAUUGCUAUUCAAAAGUAGAAUACGUUUUGAAAUAUUAAAAUUGAAAGUCAGCUUCUCGGAGGCCUAACACAAAGUGAGGGCAUCUGUGCCAUCCUUGUAUUCGCCAGUGUAUCUUCUCGUGUGACCGGGCAACUGUUGGUGUGGUGAGUGAGUGAGCUUCCUAUUUUUAGCUCGCAUAUUUCAGAGGCACCUACAUUCAAUGCAAAAUUUUAAACACAAAGAGGAGGUGCGGUGACAGUGUUCUCAGCCCAACUGUGUGGAAUCAUCUGGAACCUUGCUGUCCGUCCACCCCUUUCACCUCUGUCCGGCUGGGUCAUCUCUGGAGUUAGCAUGGUUCCUUUAUAGCACGUUUUCCCAAAGGUGUCUGCAUAUUUUGUUUUAGUAAAAUCAUUUUUUUCUAUUUCCACUCUUUAGAAUUAAAAUGGAAAAUACUUCCUUUUUGAUUAGUGUUUGCAUUUCAGUGCUCUUGUUCAAAUUUUC
rnacentral:lncRNA from 1 species